rnacentral:rRNA from 1 species
UACGUAGGGUGCAAGCGUUAAUCGGAAUUACUGGGCGUAAAGCGUGCGCAGGCGGCUUUGCAAGACAGAUGUGAAAUCCCCGGGCUUAACCUGGGAACUGCAUUUGUGACUGCAUGGCUGGAGUGCGGCAGAGGGGGGUGGAAUUCCGCGUGUAGCAGUGAAAUGCGUAGAGAUGCGGAGGAACACCGAUGGCGAAGGCAGCCCCCUGGGCCAACACUGACGCUCAGGCACGAAAGCGUGGGGAGCAAACAGG